UUAAGUACAUUUUGGACUAUUUGAGUUCGCUGGUUGUUGGAGCCCAAACUAAUAGCUGAAGGCCCACACAGUAAACUAAUUUCAAUAUACGGGCUUCUUUCUGCACUCCCAAAAUUUUCUAAAUAUCAUAAAUGUCCUUUGACUUUGACAACAUUCAUCCCUGGUAUUUUCACUCUAACGCGUACUCACCUAAGACUUUCACCCUCUCCCACACUUAUUGCACCCUACAAUUCCUCUUUCUUCAUUCCUUCCACCACCUUCAAUCUCCUUCUUCCCUUC
rnacentral:lncRNA from 1 species